rnacentral:rRNA from 1 species
CCUACGGGAGGCAGCAGUGGGGAAUAUUGGGCAAUGGAGGAAACUCUGACCCAGCGACGCCGCGUGCGGGAUGAAGGCCUUCGGGUUGUAAACCGCUUUCAGCAGGGAAGAAGCGAAAGUGACGGUACCUGCAGAAGAAGCACCGGCUAACUAUGUGCCAGCAGCCGCGGUAAUACAUAGGGUGCAAGCGUUGUCCGGAAUUAUUGGGCGUAAAGAGCUCGUAGGUGGUUCGUCACGUCGGAUGUGAAAAUCUGGGGCUUAACCCCAGACCUGCAUUCGAUACGGGCGAGCUUGAGUAUGGUAGGGGAGUCUGGAAUUCCUGGUGUAGCGGUGGAAUGCGCAGAUAUCAGGAGGAACACCAAUGGCGAAGGCAGGACUCUGGGCCAUUACUGACACUGAGGAGCGAAAGCGUGGGGAGCGAACAGGAUUAGAUACCCUGGUAGUCCACGCCGUAAACGGUGGGCACUAGUUGUGGGGACCUUCCACGGUCUCUGCGACGCNGCUACGCAUAGUGCCCGCCGUCGGGAGGUACGAGUCGCGAAGAAGUUAAAACGUUAACUAAAGUUAGAAGUUAGUUACGGCGUGAGACGUUGCCGACGGACGACCGACGAGGGGAGGUUAGG